rnacentral:RNase_P_RNA from 1 species
GGAGUCGGCCAGGCGGCCGCGGCACCGGUUUCGGUGUCGAGGAAAGUCCGGACUCCACAGGGCAGGGUGGUCGGUAACUCCGACCCGGGGCGACCCGCGGGAAAGUGCCACAGAAAACAGACCGCCACCCGCUGCGGUGGUAAGGGUGAAACGGUGGUGUAAGAGACCACCAGUGGCCGGAGCGAUCCGGUCGGCUAGGUAAACCCCACCCGGAGCAAGGUCAAGAAGGGGAACCACGGUUCCCCACGCGGACGUUCGAGGGUGGCCCGCCCGAGGUCCGCGGGUAGACCGCACCGAGGCUGUCGGCAACGACGGUCCCAGAUGGAUGGUCGCCGUGGUCCAGCGGACCACACAGAAUCCGGCUUACCGGCCGGCUCCUCCC